rnacentral:rRNA from 1 species
UACAGAGGUCUCGAGCGUUGUUCGGAUUCAUUGGGCGUAAAGGGUGCGCAGGCGGCGGGGUCAGUCUGAUGUGAAAUCCCGGGGCUCAACCCCGGAACGGCAUUGGAUACUGCCUUGCUUUGAGAACUGGAGAGGAGACUGGAAUUUACGGUGUAGCAGUGAAAUGCGUAGAGAUCGUAAGGAAGACCAGUGGCGAAGGCGAGUCUCUGGACAUUUCCUGACGCUGAGGCACGAAAGCCAGGGGAGCAAACGGG